AGUCGAGCGGGGGAGAGUAGCUUGCUACUUUACCUAGCGGCGGACGGGUGAGUAAUGCUUAGGAAUCUGCCUAUUAGUGGGGGACAACAUCUCGAAAGGGAUGCUAAUACCGCAUACGUCCUACGGGAGAAAGCAGGGGACCUUCGGGCCUUGCGCUAAUAGAUGAGCCUAAGUCGGAUUAGCUAGUUGGUGGGGUAAAGGCCUACCAAGGCGACGAUCUGUAGCGGGUCUGAGAGGAUGAUCCGCCACACUGGGACUGAGACACGGCCCAGACUCCUACGGGAGGCAGCAGUGGGGAAUAUUGGACAAUGGGGGGAACCCUGAUCCAGCCAUGCCGCGUGUGUGAAGAAGGCCUUUUGGUUGUAAAGCACUUUAAGCGAGGAGGAGGCUACCGAGAUUAAUACUCUUGGAUAGUGGACGUUACUCGCAGAAUAAGCACCGGCUAACUCUGUGCCAGCAGCCGCGGUAAUACAGAGGGUGCAAGCGUUAAUCGGAUUUACUGGGCGUAAAGCGCGCGUAGGUGGCCAAUUAAGUCAAAUGUGAAAUCCCCGAGCUUAACUUGGGGAUUGCAUUCGAUA
rnacentral:rRNA from 1 species